CGUAGGCAGCGAGCGUUGUUCGGAGUUACUGGGCGUAAAGGGUGUGUAGGCGGUUGUUUAAGUUUGGUGUGAAAUCUCCCGGCUCAACCGGGAGGGUGCGCCGAAUACUGAAUGACUUGGAGUGUGGGAGAGGUGAGUGGAAUUCCUGGUGUAGCGGUGAAAUGCGUAGAUAUCAGGAGGAACACCGGUGGUGUAGACGGCUCACUGGACCAUAACUGACGCUGAGACACGAAAGCGUGGGUAGCAAACAGGAUUAGAUACCCUGGUAGUCCACGCCCUAAACGAUGCAUAUUUGGUGUGGGCAGUUCAUUCUGUCCGUGCCGGAGCUAACGCGUUAAAUAUGCCGCCUGGGGAGUACCGUCGCAAGGCUG
rnacentral:rRNA from 1 species